CCCUUAGAUGUUCUGGGCCGCACGCGCGCUACAAUGAUGAAUUCAACGAGUUUAUAACCUUGGUUGAAAAGCCUGGGUAAUCUUUUGAACUUUCGUCGUGAUGGGGCUAGACCCUUGCAAUUAUUGGUCUCCAACGAGGAAUUCCUAGUAAACGCAAGUCAUCAGCUUGCAUUGAUUACGUCCCUGCCCUUUGUACACACCGCCCGUCGCACCUACCGAUUGAAUGGUCCGGUGAAAUCUUCGGAUUGAGACUUUGAUUUCUUCACGGAAAACGCUGUUUUAAGAAGUUGAUUAAACCUUACCAUUUAGAGGAAGGUGAAGCCGUAACA
rnacentral:rRNA from 1 species